UCUAUUUCAUAUUUUUUUUAAUAACAAAAUGUUUAAAAUUUAUCAUCAGUGUAUUUUCCUUUACAUUUUCAAUAACAAUUUUACCAAUUUAAACCAUAUGGUGCAGUGCUGGAAGCAGCGUUACAUGCAGGUCGACGCCUUGCACAUGUUGGCGAAAAAGUGGCGUCAAGUUGUUCGAUGAAUGCAUAUGAAAGGUCGAUAACUGGAUUGCAAGGUGACAGCAUUUGAGGUCGAUUGUUGACAUUUCAUCGACCCGAUCUUGGCAGGCAAAACGGAAUGUGGGUACCCACAAUCCAGUCGACGAACAAAUUAUCGACCUAACAUAGAACGAUCAACUUCGUUGAUCGAAAAUACGGAAUGAUUUACAAAACAAAUCGGCAUCACUGUUUUUUUUCUUCUACGCCAAACUGUCAUCUCAUAACAAAACAAUCGAAUCAUACAACUGCUAUAAACACAAGGCUAUUUUGGUUCCUGUGAGCGAGAUUAUUUCCGCCAUCACCACAGUGUGGAUUGCCACUGUGAUAGCAGCCAACAGCAUCAACAAUUUCCGCAGCAGUAUCAUCCAAGCCCUGGUGACCGUGCCGAAGAACAGCAACAACAGGACCUGACCAUCGAUGGUGUUUCGAAAAACUUUAUAAAGAUGAGAGGAUGAGAUCCAAGACUGUUAAUCGUUAUCAGCAAUUAUACCCUGGAGACAUCGACACCAAUACUAAAACGAUGAAAAAACGCAACGAGUAUCCUCCAGUGCAGGAUUCUAAUGCUGGUGACCCCCAAGGUGAAAUAUGAAAAGCUAUUGGAGUCUUGCCCUCGCUCAGAUUUUGAGAUUUGCCAUAAGCAAACCAUCUCCACCUAAAAUAUUUAUACAU